rnacentral:sRNA from 1 species
GGGCUUGUACUGGUUUCGACGGGGGUUUUGAAGAUGGAGAAGCUAUCCGCAGGCGAUGCGUCAAAUCGCGAAUCUAAAUAUAAACGCAGACGAAGAGUACGCGUUAGCAGCCUAGUUGCUGCUCGUCAGCCCUGAUGCACUCACACAUCAGGAUCCUGGCGUCGACCAUGUGAGAAACGAUGCAGGCAAAGCUUUGAGCCUGUAGGCGUAUUAUGAAGCUACCAAAACCGGAAGGUUGUUCGUUAUCGUCCGGCAGAGGGAAUGUUAAAGAACGGACUAUGAUAGUAGAAGUACAUGGGAUAGACUUUCGGACAGGGGUUCGAUUCCCCUCAGGUCCAC